rnacentral:tRNA from 1 species
GGGGUUGUGGCUCAGUAGUAAAGCACUUGCUUAGCACGCAUGAGGCACUGAGUUCAAUCCCCAGCACCA